GAUGAACGCUGGCGGCGUGCCUAAUACAUGCAAGUCGAGCGAACAGACGAGGAGCUUGCUCCUCUGAUGUUAGCGGCGGACGGGUGAGUAACACGUGGAUAACCUACCUAUAAGACUGGGAUAACUUCGGGAAACCGGAGCUAAUACCGGAUAACAUGUUUAACCGCAUGGUUCAACAGUGAAAGACGGUCUUGCUGUCACUUAUAGAUGGAUCCGCGCCGCAUUAGCUAGUUGGUAAGGUAACGGCUUACCAAGGCAACGAUGCGUAGCCGACCUGAGAGGGGGACCGGCCACACUGGAACUGAACCACGGUCCAGCUCCUGACGGGAGGCAGCAGUAGGGAAUCUCGGGCAAGGGGCGAAAGCCUGACGGAGCAACGCCGCGUGAGUGAAGAAGGUCUUCGGAUCUUAAAACCCUGUUAUUAGGGAAGAACAAAUGUGUAAGUAACUAUGCACGUCUUGACGGUACCUAAUCAGAAAGCCACGGCUAACUACGUG
rnacentral:rRNA from 1 species